AUGGGCCAGUGCCCCUCCGCUCCCCGCUACCACCACCACCGCAAGCCCCCUCCUACGCCGCCGUCCCCCACCGCGCAGGCAGCGUCGCCUCGUUUCUGCAGCGCCGCAGCCGCCGAGGACGCGGCCGCGGAGGCUGACUACACUUCUGACCUCCCCGAGGAGCUACUCGCCGUCGUCUUCGGGCUCCUCGGCUCGGGCGACCGCAAGCGCUGCUCCCUGGUGUGCCGCCGCUGGCUCGCCACCGAGGCCUCCUCGCGCCUGCGCCUCGCCCUCGACGCGCGGGCGCCGCUCCUCGCCGCGGCCCCGGCCAUCCUCGCGCGCUUCUCCUCCAUAUCCAAGCUCGCGCUCAAGUGCGACCGCCGCGCGGAGAGCGUCGGCGAUCCCGCGCUCGCGCUCGUCGCGCAUCGCCUCGGCCCCGGCCUUCGCCGCCUCAAGCUCCGCUCCGUCCGUGCUGUCACCGACCACGGCGUCGCCGCCCUCGCCGCCGCGGCUAUAAACCUCCGCAAGCUCUCAGUUGGGUCCUGUACCUUCGGCGCCAAGGGGAUCGAGGCAGUUCUCCGGUCCUGCCCCCAACUCGAGGAGCUCUCUGUCAAGCGGCUGCGUGGCCUAGCCGACUCAGAGCCCAUCACCGUCUCCAGCCCUCGUCUCCAGUCUCUGGCCCUCAAAGAGCUCUAUAACGGGCAGUGCUUCUCCUGUUUAAUCACGUGCUCCCCCAACCUCAAAACCCUCAAGAUCAUCCGCUGCUCCGGUGAUUGGGACCCGGUCCUCCAGGCGAUCCCACAGGGUUCCUUGCUAGCCGAGCUUCAUCUCGAAAAACUGCAGGUCAGUGACCUUGGUGUGGCGGCGCUAUGUGGGCUAGAGGUCCUGUACCUUGCCAAGGCGCCGGAGGUCACAGAUGUUGGUCUGGCAGCACUUGCCACCAAGUCGCCACGUCUACGCAAGCUGCAUGUUGAUGGAUGGAAGGCGAAUAGGAUUGGCGACCGUGGGCUUGCAACCGUGGCGCAGAAAUGUGCUGCUUUGCAGGAAUUGGUCCUCAUUGGUGUGAAUUUGACAUCGGCGAGUCUUGAGUUGAUUGCUGCCAACUGCCCCACUCUUGAGCGGCUUGCGCUUUGUGGGUCUGACACAUUUGGGGAUGCAGAGAUCUCUUGCGUGGCGACUAAGUGUGCUUCUCUGAGGAAGCUGUGCAUCAAGGCAUGCCCUGUGUCUGAUGCCGGAAUGGACAAGCUUGCAGCAGGCUGCCCACGCCUUGUCAAGGUGAAGGUGAAGAAGUGCCGUAGGGUGACGUUUGAGUGUGCUGAGCGGCUUCGUGCUAGUCGGCAUGGUGCUCUUGCUGUGAAUUUUGACACGCCAGGUGGUGCAGGCGAAUUGCAAGAUGCUAGUGUGGAUGAGAGUGGUGUACUGGAGAAUGCAGGGAGUGAUGUGGUACAAGAUGAUUUUGAUGAUCAGAUAGGGGUUCCUGACCUUCUGUGUGGCACCAGUGGCAGACCAUCAGGGUGGAAAGCCCGGAUUGUUGCUUUGAUAUCAAGGAGCUUGUCGGUUUCCAUGUUUCGGAGACGUCCACGUGGGAGCUCCCAUAACUCAUGA
rnacentral:rRNA from 1 species